rnacentral:rRNA from 1 species
AUUGAACGCUGGCGGCAUGCCUUACACAUGCAAGUCGAACGGCAGCGCGGGAGCAAUCCUGGCGGCGAGUGGCGAACGGGUGAGUAAUAUAUCGGAACGUGCCCAGUAGUGGGGGAUAGCCCGGCGAAAGCCGGAUUAAUACCGCAUACGACCUACGGGUGAAAGGGGGGGAUCGCAAGACCUCUCGCUAUUGGAGCGGCCGAUAUCAGAUUAGGUAGUUGGUGGGGUAAAGGCCCACCAAGCCUACGAUCUGUAGUUGGUCUGAGAGGACGACCAGCCACACUGGGACUGAGACACGGCCCAGACUCCUACGGGAGGCAGCAGUGGGGAAUUUUGGACAAUGGGGGCAACCCUGAUCCAGCAAUGCCGCGUGCAGGAAGAAGGCCUUCGGGUUGUAAACUGCUUUUGUCAGGGAAGAAAUCCCUUGGGUUAAUACCUCGGGGGGAUGACGGUACCUGAAGAAUAAGCACCGGCUAACUACGUGCCAGCCGCCGCUGUAAUAC